rnacentral:rRNA from 1 species
UCCUCCAAGGCUAAAUACUCCUGACUGACCGAUAGUGAACCAGUACCGUGAGGGAAAGGCGAAAAGAACCCCGGCGAGGGGAGUGAAAAAGAACCUGAAACCGUGUACGUACAAGCAGUGGGAGCACCCUUCGGGGUGUGACUGCGUACCUUUUGUAUAAUGGGUCAGCGACUUAUAUUCUGUAGCAAGGUUAACCGUAUAGGGGAGCCGUAGGGAAACCGAGUCUUAACCGGGCGUUAAGUUGCAGGGUAUAGACCCGAAACCCGGUGAUCUAGCCAUGGGCAGGUUGAAGGUUGGGUAACACUAACUGGAGGACCGAACCGACUAAUGUUGAAAAAUUAGCGGAUGACCUGUGGCU